GGAGGAUCCGAGCGUUAUCCGGAUUUAUUGGGUUUAAAGGGAGCGUAGGCGGAUUGUUAAGUCAGUUGUGAAAGUUUGCGGCUCAACCGUAAAAUUGCAGUUGAUACUGGCAGUCUUGAGUGCAGUAGAGGUGGGCGGAAUUCGUGGUGUAGCGGUGAAAUGCUUAGAUAUCACGAAGAACUCCGAUUGCGAAGGCAGCUCACUGGAGUGUAACUGACGCUGAUGCUCGAAAGUGUGGGUAUCAAACAGGAUUAGAUACCCUGGUAGUCCACACAGUAAACGAUGAAUACUCGCUGUUUGCGAUAUACAGUAAGCGGCCAAGCGAAAGCAUUAAGUAUUCCACCUGGGGAGU
rnacentral:rRNA from 1 species